GAUGAAGAACGUAGCGAAAUGCGAUAAGUAAUGUGAAUUGCAGAAUUCAGUGAAUCAUCGAAUCUUUGAACGCACAUUGCGCCCCUUGGUAUUCCGAGGGGCAUGCCUGUUCGAGCGUCAUUUGACCAAUCAAGCCUGGCUUGGUAUUGGGGCUCGCUCUCCAGCGUCCUCUAAACACAGUGGCGGUGCCGUUAGGCUCUAAGCGUAGUAAUUCUUCUCGCUAUAUGGUCUUGCGGUUGCUUGCCAUAACCCAAAUUUUUAAGGUUGACCUCGGAUCAGGUAGGGAUACCCGCUGAACUUAAGCAUAUCAAUAAGCGGAGGA
rnacentral:misc_RNA from 1 species